rnacentral:lncRNA from 1 species
AUGAACGCUGUUGUUGUCCUCGUCCUAUUGGCUGCUGUGGGGUCGGCCAUAAGCAGCUCAGAGGUGAAGGUGCAAAACGUUCCUUACUCUUGCUGCAAAGCACUGGAGUUUGACCAAAACUGUGAGAACACCUGGAGUGUUAAUGGCAAGACCUUUGCCUACUCCAAACAUGAGAAAAAAAACUGCGUACCUCCAUGCCAGAAAAUUGAAGGUGGAACAAUUGUCAUGGAAGAAUGCGUGGAUCUAAAUGUUACCACGGUUUGUCAUAUGCGCUCUGGUAUUGUUAAAGAGGAGUGCAUCCACUACCAGAGUCAGCCCUGCUCCCAGGAUUGCAAUGGGGCAUGUAGGCAUCAGAGCACCGUUGCAUUGGUGCCAUUGGUACUGACAGCCGGAUGGAUUGCAAAGCAGAUGAUCUCUUGAGUCGUCUGCUUUUGGCAGAAAGAAAAGAUGCUUUUAAUAGCAGGGGUGAAAGGUAUUUCUGCUAAGGGAACAACAAUGCUUUUGCUUCCUGUCAGCUUGAAUCAGUUUGCACUGCAUAACUGUCUCGUCAUGCAGUGCCAUACAGACAGUGUUUACCAUGAAGGCAAUUUUAUACUUUUCCAACUAUAAGCUCAAAAAUAUUAUAUUUACACUUCUUCUUACAGCACUGAAACACUUUAUAAUUCUUCAGGCACAUCAGUUUCCAUCCUUUACUGUUAAAUGACAAAAUGAACGUGAUUUAGAUAGCAUUGGAAUAUAUCGUACAACCUAAAAACCUCACUUUUUUUUUUUUUAUUUGAGUCAUGUUUCUCUCAGGGGUGUAUUUACCAAGAAAGACCCUUUUAAAAAUGUCAUGAAUUUCUUCCACAAGUCAAAAUAAUAGUCACCAGUCAAUUUUUGCCCCUUUUGGUAAGAUUUUUAAGUUUACUGUUAAAUGGUGACAAAAUAUUUAAAAAGUGUAACAUUUUCCUUAUUAAUGAGACAAUUUGCUACUACCAUUUAUUUUUUGACACUGAAUGUGGAUGGACAUGACCUGCUGCUAUUUCAAUGACAAAUUUAUUGAUGAAGAUAAACAUUCAGUUUAUUUGAAACACACUAAACUACAGUACAGAGGUGUACUUAGCUGCUACACUUGGUAAAUACAACUCCCAGAGUUCACUGAACAAAGCUGCUCACAGAAACCUUUCAGAAAUUGUGACUGGUGUAUUAUGAAGGGAAGACGGUUUCUGUUGUGUCAUAGGACUGGAAGAGGUUUAAAAAAUGUGUACAUGCCAAUUUGAUGUUUACAAACCAGUGAUGGUAAAUACCCAGGUACUAAUUUCAACAAACUGAAAAUAUAAACAGGUCCCACUUGUCACUUUACUGUUAUAAUCUCAGGAAACAAAAAUAUGGUGACGUGCUGACUAAUUUAUUAUUUAUUUAUUUAAAAAAAAAUAUUCUGCACUUGAAAGGAGGUCAGAGAUUGUCGAAGCAGAAAAGAGCAUCUUGUGUUUGUUUGGUUUACUUGAAUUGCACCAGCGACCUCAAAACUGUAUUAUACUACUGUAGGACCAGACCAAGCACAGAACACAGCUUGUUUUAGUGUUUCAUACAUUUACAAGCAUCUCUAAACAAACUGCUCAAAACUAACUAAACUAAUCUAAACUGGUCAAAACAAUUACCACUGACACUAUCCAAAGUAACAAAGCAAAUAUUCAGGUAAUAUCUGUUUUGAAGCCACAUACUGACAUUAACUGAGCUGCUAAUAAAUAAGCUACUUUCUUUGAAUCAUUUUAUUUUUGAAUAAAUAUGCUCCAUAUAAACAUUUCAAGUUAUGACAAAAUAAGCUAUUUAAACUAUGUGAUUGGUGCCUUGGGAAACUGAGAUCAGGCAUUUUUAAAAACUUUUAUUUUUAAUUUCAUAAUUGGAAAUUGACAUUUCUUCUUAACAAAAAUAUAUCUGCUGCUUUUAUUAAUUUUAAGUGACUAAAAAUAAGGUAUUUACAACUUUUUUGACAGGCUAAAGUAAACUCUUUUUAGCUGAGAUUUAAUAAAGAAUCAGUCAAUAUUCAAGACAAUACUGAUAGAUUAUUGAAUUUUAUUUAUGAUGUGAUCCACUCUUAUGAUGCAAAAUGCCACAUUUAUGUGUGGCUUUUUAAAAGAUGACAUAAAUACAGUUAUAUGGCACAUAGUUAAAUAGCUGAAGGACAACACCAGCAGUGGAAGGAGUAACAUUCCCUGAUUAGACAGUUCUCAUGUACAGCUCUUCCUCCAGAACUCUUAAUGCAAUAGCAGCUAUGAAUGUUUACAAUAUGUAUUUAAAUAGUAACUGUAAAGGUUUUACAUUUUAGAUUUAAAUGACAGCUACACCUAGUAAAGCAGAACCAAAGCCAUUCUCUGUAUAGAUGGAGUGGAAAUGACAUAAACUGCCAGUAUUUCUUUACCAAUGUUUUCCAUUCCAUUUCUCUCCUCCCUACAAUAACUGUUUAGCCCAAAUGUGGCCCAUAUCUGCAGUUUUCUCUACAGGCACUCUGGCCUUGACUAAUGGUACUGUAGUGGUACUGGUGGAGUAAGUUUAACCAGGCUAUAUCUGACCCAACACUAGCUGUGACCAAUGUUAGGCCCACUCUGUGGCUUUUAUCCAUGUUUGGCAGAUGCACCAUUUGCCAGUUGCCAUUUAAUAGCCAGAUUAAACCCAGAUGUGUCUUCUUUCUGGAAUACAUUAUUUUCUUUUUUGUUUUUUUUUAAUUAACCUCUCAUAUGUUUUACAAAUAUUCGACACUUCCCCUCCAACUAGGGAAACUAUUUUACAGUUUAUUACCAACUUAAAGUGUAAAGUAUUAAAAAAUAAAAUAUUAAAAGUGUUUUCAUUUGGACCAGAUGAAUAUGUAAUAAAUUAUGUCCUACACAUCUGCUACAUUAUAUAUAAGGCAUUAACUUUAAACUCUUUUUGCCCAUUAAAAAAUGCAUUAAAAAAAUGUGAAAAAACAUACAAACUUUAGAUUUUCUCUAAUUUUUUAUCAUCAAGACAGUCCAUGUACUUUCAAUACGUGUUUUAAUUGUGAUUUUUUUUAAAAUCAGUUUUAUAAUUAUAUCAUUAGCCUUUGAAUAAUCAAAUAAAAUCAAUACAUUUGUUCUAAUUAACAAACAAUGAUGCUCUUUUUUGCUUCCUGAUUAUCUCUUUUGAAAAUGAUUAUUUCAUUAAAAUUGGGCAUUAAGUUAAUAAUAGAAACAUUCCAAUAAAAGCACUAAAAAGCUGGCCCACUGAAAUACAAAAAGGACAUAUCAGACUUGAUAGCUGAGUAUUUAAAAACUAUGCAACCAAUUAAGUGGUGCUUUGUUUGUUGUGUGUGUUUGUGUGUGUGUGAGAGAGAGAUGUGGGGUGGGGGACUUUUAGUAUUAUUUUUUUAUUAGAGACUGAAAAAAAUGUGAAACCAUCAAAAACAAAAAAACAAAAACUGAGCCAAACAGAAUUAAUUAAAAAAAAAAACUGCUGUGUUUGAAAAUCCUACUGCCAAAUAGGGGUUUAUUUGUUUGUUUGAUUUGUUUUUUUUAACCACGCUGUUGUGAUAUGUUCUAUCGAAGCACCAAACAUUAGAAUGUAAAAUUCCAUAUUUUUACGGUCAUGUGUCAUUUCAUGCAGUACGGUAUAGGGUACUUAUGUGCUUUUCUUCUUGCGUUGCUGCUAUCGUAUGUUAAUCAAUGCUGUCCGUGCUGCUUGUAAAAUAUUAUUGCACAGCUAUGAAAUAAAAAAAAAAACACAAUUAUUGUGUGUGCUGAGUGUUUUCUUAAUGAAGAGGUAACAGAUGUAGUUUUAUACAAAAAGUCCAUGUCACUGAUAAUCAUAGUUUUUAAGUUGGUUUUUUUUUUGCACAAUUUGUUGUGCACAAAAUUGUUCUGUACUACUCAUUAUGUCAUUUUUUGUUGAAAUGUUAGUUUGAAACUAUAACAUUGUUUAGGUCACAUAGUAAAUGUGUAUUUUUAAGCGCACACAUUACCAUAAGUGUACUUUUUAUAUAUUUGAAAGAAAUCCAGUGAAAAAAACCUGUUAAUAAGAGUGUAAUAUGCUAUUUUUCUUUAUUAUUUUUAUUUGAAUCACUGAAAAAAGAUGUUCAUGAUGUCAGGGAAGAUCCAGGAAAUUGAAAACAGGCCAUUUCUGGGGUCAUUGCAAAAACUUUGCAAAAAGUAAAAUAAAAUAAAAUAAAAAUGCACCCAGUCAGAAAAACUGAAGACUCAGACUGACUAAAGAACACAUCCGUUUAUUUGUUUCAGAGCACAGUACAUGUACUUUAGAGUCUUUACAAAAUAUUUACAUAGAUUUAUCUAUUUAUUCUUUGGGUACCAGAGAAAUUAAAAAACUAAAAUGAAGAAAUAAGGAAUCAGCUUGGAAUAAUUUAUCGUUUUCUAAAGUCACAACAUACACAGCAGUAAAAACUGCUGCAGAGUUUGAACACGUAUGAAGUAUAAUCCCUGUGUGGUAUCAGAUGUUGACUAGAGGCAUGAGAUUUCUGCACAAUCCUGAAGUGCAUCAUGAUACUACACUUUAUCCACUGACAUUUAUAUCACAGCUUUUGACAGACUAUUGUCACAAUAUUGUAUGUAAAGUAUUUCAUUGUUAAAACCAAGUUAUUCCUAUAAGCACCAUAAUAUCU